UACGUAGGGUCCAAGCGUUAAUCGGAAUUACUGGGCGUAAGCGUGCGCAGGCGGCUUUGCAAGUCAGACGUGAAUCCCCGGGCUUAACCUGGGAAUUGGCGUUUGAAACUACGGAGCUGGAGUGUGGCAGAGGGAGGUAGAAUUCCACGUGUAGCGGUGAAAUGCGUAGAUAUGUGGAGGAAUACCGAUGGCGAAGGCAGCCUCCUGGGCCAACACUGACGCUCAUGCACGAAAGCGUGGGGAGCAAACAGG
rnacentral:rRNA from 1 species